rnacentral:misc_RNA from 1 species
GUGGUAUUGGGGCGAGCGGGGCUCUGGCUUCUGCCUGUGUUAAGCUAUAAUAGAUCAGCUAUUGGAAUUGCUAUCCUGAUUCAAUGUUAUCGCGAAGAGACUGGAGACAAUUUUGCUAGUUCCAUAGGGACAUUAAAUUAAAAGAUUUAAGAGAACCAAAGAAAGAGAACCAAUUUUGAAAAACUUAGAUAUCUUUCUUGACUUAAAUAAUUCAAAUAAAGCUCAUAAAUAGUAAACUUUACAUGAAAUCUCAAACAAUAAUAACUUAAUAUUGAACAAAACUAUUACCCAUCCAAUUUCCUUUUAUUUGUUUGCAUCACACAACAAUAUAUUUCUAUCCUCAUGAGUCUGUUGCAACAUUUUGUCCUUUGGAUGGAUUUUUUUUUCUUUUGAAAUAGAAAAUUUGUGCUGUGGCAAGAAGACAAGACCAACUAUUUGUUAUCAUUCGCAAUCAGAAAUUACAAUUUAUGCAUCUUUAUGGAUUUUUUAUUCUUGAAUAUAGGAUCAUCUCUUGUUGACAACACAGCAUGUAACUGACAUCCCAGAUCAUACCUUGUAAAUGAACACUUUUGCUUGAAAAAGAAUAGAAAAAAGAUUAUUUUUAAUACUUGUUCAUCAUAUUUUUAUCAUAAGCUUUUGAAAGAUUGGAACAAUUAUUCCAUACAGAGAAGAUAAUGUAUGUCUCAAAAUUUUGUUGGAUGAUUUCUCUUAAUUGUAUAGUAGUAAGUUUUAUAUUCGUUUGAUCUUGCAUUAACAAACUGAUUUGUCUUAGAGAAAUAAACUAGUUGAGAACCUUGCUAGCUUUAUAGCCAGAAAUGUGCCAUCUUCAAUGGUUACUAUUUAGGAGCAAACAUGUUCUGUUGAGACAAUGUAAGUUCAUUUAGAAUCAAUCAAUUGUUUAUAUAGCUUUCACAAAUAUUGUAACUAGACAUGCCAGCUGUUUAGACUGUUUCUGUUGUUGUUAGCCCCAUUAAUACAUGUUUGAGUUUCCAGGUAUUCUGCUGCUUUGGAAAUUCAGUGGCCUCUACCCGCUUUCUAUUGCAAGAUGAAUUUAACAUUCAAACAACGCAAUGUGAUAAUUGCAUUAUUGUACUCUCUCUCUUCCCCUUUUCCUCUCACUCUCUCUCACACACACAUUAUGUUACACUUAUUAUGUGAUUGGUUAAGCAUUAUGUUUCUUCUCCUUCAGGGUUUUAUGUUCUGUCUACAACAAAUUGCAUGUAUAUUCUCAAUCGUUGCAAUGAUUGUUGGCAGUGAGGAAAUUCAAGAGGCUUCUCAAUUACUCUCAUGUUUGGCUGAUAUGGUGUAUUGCACGGUUUGUGCCUGUAUGCAGGUAGUGAUAUGAUCGACAAAGUGCAUGAAACGGAAACUGCAAAUAUCUUUUUAAUUAAGAUUUCAUAUUAAUACUAUGCUAACUUGAGUAUUUACAGACACAACACAAGAUUGAAAUGGACAAACGAGAUGGCAAAUUUGGGCCACAACCAGUCAUGGCGGUGCCUCCUUUUCAACAGAUGUCACGCAUUGAUCAACCCAUUCCUCCCUCGGUUGGUUACCCACCUCAACAAGCAUAUGGACAGCCCUAUGGUUAUCCUCCUCCUCAGGCUCAAGGCUAUCCUGCAGCAGGUUAUCCUCCAUCCAAUUACCCACCACCCGGAUAUCCACCUUCUGGCUAUUCAAGGUGAUCUGUUUACUGUGAUAGUGUGAUGAAUGGUGGUAUGUCAAAACAGAAGAGCAUUAUACAGUUGUUGGUGUUAAUUUGGAGUAGAUAAACUUCAAAACUUGUGAGUUGUUUAUUGAGUGGGAAAAUAGCGGAGCUGAUGCUUUUGUUUAUUUUAUCGAGGGUACUUAUACUAGUAAAAAUUUGUGUGGGUUUCGAUUUCUUUAUUGUGUAUUAAAAAAACAAAAAUUGAGACAUAAUUAAGACAUACUUUACUUUUCUUCUAUCUCAGUA